rnacentral:rRNA from 1 species
ACCUGCGGAGGAUCAUUAACGAGUUUUUGAAACGGGUUGUCGCUGACUUCUAAACAGAAGUAUGUGCACGCCUGACUCAAUCCACUCUCAAACCACUGUGCACUUACUGUAGGCUUGGUUGUUGAAGAAUGCGCAAGCGUUCGGAUAGGGCCUUGCCUAUGUUUUUACAAACGCUUCAGUCAUAGAAUGUCAUUCGCGUUUAACGCAAUAUAUACAACUUUCAGCAACGGAUCUCUUGGCUCUCGCAUCGAUGAAGAACGCAGCGAAAUGCGAUAAGUAAUGUGAAUUGCAGAAUUCAGUGAAUCAUCGAAUCUUUGAACGCACCUUGCGCUCCUUGGUAUUCCGAGGAGCAUGCCUGUUUGAGUGUCAUGGUAUUCUCAACUCUACAAAGCUUUUGCGGUGAAGAGUUGGAUUUGGAGGUAGUGUUGGCUCGAAAGAGUUGACUCCUCUUAAAUGCAUCAGUGUGAACCAUUACGGAUCGCCUUCAGUGUGAUAAUGUCUACGCUGUGGUGUUGAAGUAUCUCCAGUGUUCAUGCUUCUAACAGUCCUUUCAUGGACAACUUUGACAAUCUGACCUCAAAUCAGGUAGGACUACCCGCUGAACUUAAGCAUAUCAAUAAGCGGAGGAAAAGAAACUAACAAGGAUUCCCCUAGUAACUGCGAGUGAAGCGGGAAAAGCUCAAAUUUAAAAUCUGGCAGUCUUUGGCUGUCCGAGUUGUAAUCUGGAGAAGUGUUUUCCGCGCUGGACCGGGUACAAGUCUCUUGGAAUAGAGCGUCAUAGAGGGUGAGAAUCCCGUCUUUGACACGGAGUACCAGUGCUUUGUGAUACGCUCUCAAAGAGUCGAGUUGUUCGGGAAUGCAGCUCAAAAUGGGUGGUAAAUUCCAUUUAAAGGUAAAUAUAGGUGAGAGACCGAUAGCGAACAAGUACCGUGAGGGAAAGAUGAAAAGCACUUUGGAAAGAGAGAUAAACAGUACGUGAAAAGAGUGAAAGGGAAGCGUUUGAAGUCAGUAGCGUUGUUCAGAACUCCACCUGGUUUUACUUGGUGCACUUUCUGGACAACGGCCCAACAUCAUUUUUGACUGUCGGACAAAAGCGUUUGGAAUGUGGCACCUCCGGGUGUGUUAUAGCCUCUGGUUGUAUACGAUGGUUCGGAAUGAGGACCGCAGCACGCCUUAUGGCCGGGGUUCGCUCCACGCAU